rnacentral:rRNA from 1 species
GGAAGUAAAAGUCGUAACAAGGUUUCCGUAGGUGAACCUGCGGAAGGAUCAUUAAUGAUUAACUGUCUGUCGAGCUUGCUCACAGACUUAUCAUAUCCAUAACACCUGUGCACUUGUCGGAUGGCUUAGUGAAGACCGCAAGGUUGGAUCUAUCCAUCUACUUUACAUAACAAUUUAGUAACAAAUGUAGUCUUAUUAUAACAUAAUAAAACUUUCAACAACGGAUCUCUUGGCUCUCGCAUCGAUGAAGAACGCAGCGAAAUGCGAUAAGUAAUGUGAAUUGCAGAAUUCAGUGAAUCAUCGAAUCUUUGAACGCACCUUGCGCUCCCUGGUAUUCCGGGGAGCAUGCCUGUUUGAGUGUCAUGAAAACCCUCAACCUUAGAUUGGUUAACACCUUUCUUUGGCUUGGAUUUGGACGUUUGCCGAUGAUAAGUCGGCUCGUCUUAAAAGUAAUAGCUGGAUCUGUCUCGCGACAUGGUUUGACUUGGCGUAAUAAGUAUUUCGCUAAGGACAUCUUCGGAUGGCCGCGUUGCAAGACUAAAGACCGCUUUCUAAUCCAUUGAUCUUCGGAUUAAUAUUCUUGACAUCUGGCCUCAAAUCAGGUAGGACUACCCGCUGAACUUAAGCAUAUCAAUAAGCGGAGGA